rnacentral:misc_RNA from 1 species
CACACAAGCUCAUGGUCGGUGAGACCAAGAAGAAUUGGAGGGAUCACACAGUGUGAGCUUGACACUGAACACUUCAAAAUCACUUGGAGAUAAAGCUUUGGUAAGAAUAUCUGCAUACUGACUAGUAGCAAGAACAUAAACUACCUGAAGUAGUUUAUUUAGAACCUUUUCUCCCACAAAAAAUAGGUCUAGCUCCAUGUGCUUUGUACGAGCAUGAAUGAUUGGGCUAUGAGCCAGAACCGCAGUACUUGUGUUGUCACACUGAAUAACAGGAAGUUUGCGAGGAACAAGUUCAGAAAGAAGAGAUUGAAGCCAGGAUACUUUAGCAGUAACUAAGGCCAAGCUUCUGUAUUCAGCCUCUAUGCUUGAGCGGGCAACAACUGACUGUUUCUUUGACCAC